CAGUCGCCGCGGUAAUACGUAGGUGGCAAGCGUUGUCCGGAAUUAUUGGGCGUAAAGGGCUCGCAGGCGGUUUCUUAAGUCUGAUGUGAAAGCCCCCGGCUCAACCGGGGAGGGUCAUUGGAAGCUGGGAAACUUGAGUGCAGAAGAGGAGAGUGGAAUUCCACGUGUAGCGGUGAAAUGCGUAGAGAUGUGGAGGAACACCAGUGGCGAAGGCGACUCUCUGGUCUGUAACUGACGCUGAGGAGCGAAAGCGUGGGGAGCGAACAGGAUUAGAUACCCCUGUAGUCCCUGUCUCUUAUAU
rnacentral:rRNA from 1 species